GACGAACGCUGGCGGCGUGCUUAACACAUGCAAGUCGAACGGAAAGGCCCUGCUUUUGUGGGGUGCUCGAGUGGCGAACGGGUGAGUAACACGUGAGUAACCUGCCCUUGACUUUGGGAUAACUUCAGGAAACUGGGGCUAAUACCGGAUAGGAGCUCCUGCUGCAUGGUGGGGGUUGGAAAGUUUCGGCGGUUGGGGAUGGACUCGCGGCUUAUCAGCUUGUUGGUGGGGUAGUGGCUUACCAAGGCUUUGACGGGUAGCCGGCCUGAGAGGGUGACCGGCCACCUUGGGACUGAGAUACCGCCCCGACUCCUACGGGAGGCAGCAGUGGGGGAUAUUGCACAAUGGGCGGAAGCCUGAUGCAGCAACGCCGCGUGCGGGAUGACGGCCUUCGGGUUGUAAACCGCUUUCGCCUGUGACGAAGCGUGAGUGACGGUAAUGGGUAAAGAAGCACCGGCUAACUACGUG
rnacentral:rRNA from 1 species